rnacentral:rRNA from 1 species
GUGUUACAGGGCACAGUUCUAAUACUCUCACAUAAACAAAAUAAGUACUACUAAUCAAGCACAAGUCUGAAACUAAACAAGCUUCAAGCACUACUCAAAUCUGAACAUUACAAAGCAUUUGCCAUACACAUCUCAAUUCUGAAUAUUACAAAGUCUAAACAUUACACUACCCUAAACAUUACACUACUCAAGGUUACAGAAAUUUGAGAGAGAGGGAGAGAGAGAGAGAACAACAGCUGGAUUAUGGUUCAGAAAAGAAGCAAAGAAGCAGAGGAAGAGGAGGAGGCGUUGAGGAGGGACGGCAGCAAGGAACAGAGGAGCAGCGAAGGGGGUUCAGAGAGAAGGGAUAAGCAGCAGGGGCGUUGGAGAGAGAGCAACAGCAAGUUGGGGCAAGGGAAGGUGAAGAGCAGCAGCAGGUAUAGGAGAAGAAGAAGGAGCAGCGGCGGCUCGGCGCAAGAAGAAGAAGCAGAAAGCAGCGGAAGGAGGGAGAAGGAGCAGCGAGGGAGAUUGUAGACGAGCAGCAGCAGGGGCGCGGAGAAGAAGGAGCAGCAGACAGGGAUUCAGCGAAGCGGGGAAGAAGGGAAGAAGAAGCAGCGGCGGUGUGUCUGGCCGGGCGCGCCGGCUGGAGGGAGAGGUCGUGCGAGGUGGGCACUGGUAGCUGGUUGGCGCGCCGCCACGCUGGCCUGGCCGCAGCGGCGGCCGUAGGUGGAGAAGGAAGCGGGGGAGAGAGGAGAUGGAGAUAUACCAGGCCCAAUUUGGGAAUGGAUGCAUCUAGGGAUUUUGAUCCCCAUCUGAUCUGCCACUUUUAUGAUUUGGCCCUCCUCUUCUAUUCAUUUCUUCCCAAGAAGAUCCCCUUCUUCUUUUAGUUUGCUCCCCUGGAUACUUCUUUUCUUCUCACUGAAGUCCUUGACGUAUUUCUUUCAUGCCCUUCUCUCUUCUGGUUAGCCAUAUGUUCGGAAUCUUGACGAUUAUAGUGCCUUUGCGCACUUUUCUGCAAAAGAAACAAGUGACAAGUAAAUGAACCCUUUAUAUGAUUCUCAUUAAAAUAUGCGGUAAUUCAUAGCAAGAAUUGAUUGUCAGAUCACAACAGAUGCUAUAUUUGGGUGUCAAAUUAUAUAUAUGAAAUGUGCUUAUCAAGUUCCCCCACACUUAAAUCUUUGCUUGUCCUCAAGCAAAGGCAAAUGACAAUAGCAAGAAUGUGAACAGUGAGCUGACUAGAGAAUGCCAAGUGAAGUAGAUCUCCAAACAAUGCAUGCUUUGGACUUAGCUAGUGAAAAUCAAUGGUUAGGAGUGCUUCAAAGCGGUAGAAUACUAGUAGACUUGACCAUUUUAAACUUUUACAAUGAUAAAAGAGGAUCAACAAGUUUAAGUGAUGACUGUGCCAAAUGGUUCCUAAAGAGAGCAUGAUCCCGAGAACAAAAAGAACUGGAAUUAAAUCUUGUGAUCAAAUCACUUAUUUACAGAGAUAAAGCAAUGAUUAUAUUAUUAUUAGUCUCACCAUAGGAACAUACCAGCGAUCCCGAGAACAUGGUAUACACCCAGCUCAACCAAUUAUUAGUUUUUUUUGUUUGCCUCCCCAAAGGAACAUACCACCGAUCCCGAGAACAUGGUAUACACCUGGUUCGACAAUUACAUUUUUUAACAUAAUUAACUCCUAUCCGAUCCAACCAGAUUUCACAAGCCACCGAUCCAGGGAACAUGGCAUGCUACUGUUAG